rnacentral:rRNA from 1 species
ACUGACACAAGCAGCGAGUUUUCCUUGUCCGAAAGGCCUGGGUAAUCUUGUAAAUCUGUGUCGNGAUAGGGAUAGAUUAUUGCAAUUAUUAAUCUUGAACGAGGAAUUCCUAGUAAAUGCGGAUCAUCAGUUCGCUGUUGAUUACGU